GACGUAGGGCGCGAGCGUUGUCCGGAUUUAUUGGGCGUAAAGAGCUCGUAGGCGGCUUGUCGCGUCGUUCGUGAAAACCCACGGCUCAACUGUGGGCUUGCGGGCGAUACGGGCAGGCUAGAGUUCGGUAGGGGAGACUGGAAUUCCUGGUGUAGCGGUGAAAUGCGCAGAUAUCAGGAGGAACACCGGUGGCGAAGGCGGGUCUCUGGGCCGAUACUGACGCUGAGGAGCGAAAGCGUGGGGAGCAAACGGG
rnacentral:rRNA from 1 species